rfam:Triticum urartu cultivar G1812 contig764611, whole genome shotgun sequence.
GAUUUACUCCCUCCAUUCCGAAUUACUUGUCUUGGAUUUGUCUAGAUACGGAGGUAUCUAGCACUAAAAUGAGUCUACAUCCAUAUCUAGACAAAUCCAAGACAAGUAAUUCGGAACGGAGGGAGUACAUG